CGGGGCCCCAUGGUUUGUUACGAAUGAGCAAAUUAGAGAGGAGUUGCAAGUUGAAUCUGUAAGUGAAGUGAUCGAGAGAGCGGCUGUGCGUCACCACAUGAGACUGGGCGCACACCCUAACCCGCUAGCCGCUAGCUCAGCAGGCAUUUAGCGACAACCCCAGUAGGAGGCUGCGUAGGGUUAGGGUGGUCCAGUUUUGCAUGAUUUUCGGUUUUUUUGGAAAAUGAACUGUCCCACCCCCUCGUUCUGAUCCAUUUGACUAAAUAACACUCCCUGUCAAAUUUUAGCGCAAUCGGACAGUAUUAACAGGUGCCGCCCGACGUCUCUUUUUCUGAAAAAUGGCUAAAUUUUUGGGAACUUUGAUGAUUUGUCGUCUAGAUUCAGGAUAGAGAAAUCCUGUGGAAAGUGUGAAAAGCUUUAGUAACACAGGGCAAAGAACUGGUUUUUUAAUGUACGAACUAAAAAUCACGGCCUGGUUGGGGGGGGGGGGGUGCGGGGGACGCGGGGGACGCACUCUCAGCAUACGCGCUGAUAAGAGACUCCAAUUACCAGGAUCAGCAAUAUGCGACAGUCGCGACACCCGACACGCUAACUUGGCGUUGCCGGACUUCAUAGCAUGUCACGAGGCUCCUUAAGAGAACAUUUAAGAUAUGCUAUUUUUCUGUCUUGUCUUGCAACACAACUUUGUUCGCAAAUUUGCUGAGCUUUGCAGAAAAUUCAAACUGCGUCUGAGCUAGGAUUGGAGUUGCCAGUGCCACCUUGCCAGUCCUAGAGAGCCGUCUAUGAGGCUUCUUAUUUCGUGAUAAUGCUAAACUUUUGAUGCACAAAAAAGUAAUACAAUCAUGUCAAAGCCCACCUUAAGGGCAGAACGUAACGUUUAUCUGAUAGGGAACUACUCACCCGUGAUAGAAGGUAGUAAGCUUCCGUCGAAGAGACAAGUAUUGCGCGUUUUAUUUUUUAAUUUACGCGAGGUUAAAUUAUCUCUACGUGAAAGUGCGAAGCUUGCCAUAGAAGAAGUAAAAGUAUUUUGGAACAAAGCUCGAAUUCCGAUGCAACGUGACGAUCACAGUGUGACAAAAUUAGAGAAUCUUUACAACAAAUUGAGAAAUCUGCAAAAAAGUUCAAGCAAAACUAGUGACUGUUUUGUGAAACAAAGAAGUGAUUUUAUUGGUGAUCUCGACGACCUUUUCGAUAUCGCGCACGCUGAUGCUCUUAGUUUGAUACAAAUAGAUGAAGAUAGACAAUUUUUACUCAAUCAAAGGGCCAAAGGACGAAUCGGUCACAUGUACGGUAUAGACAUGGAGUUAGAGAGGAGGGAGCAGAGAAGAGCCGAGAAACAGCAGAAGGAACAUGAGCGAUCAGAAAGAAAUGCAGCAGAUCUAAAAAAACUCAAUGAAACCUGUAGCAUUGAUGACGCAUUUGACAGCAAUUUUGCUGAGCUUUUUUCCGAUGGUGACGUUGAGCAUCUUUCUGUUGAUGAUGAAUAUGAUGACAUCGACAAUCCAGGACCUUCGAAGCCCCCGCACCAGCCACACGAGGAAGUAAAAGACUACAAGGAACCAUUCGCGUGAUCACUCCAAAAUUAUCUGCUGCGUUAGAUAAGUGCAAAAUUAGCGAUAGAGAUGCCGUGCACCUAGUAACAUCGGUUGUUCAAUCCUUUGGAUUGGAUUCAAACACUUAUAUUUUAAGUCGUUCCGCGAUUCGCCGAUCCAGGCAAAAAUUACGUCUUGAAAGAGCAGCAAAACUUAAGGAAUACUUUAAGGGGUCUGAUUUAAAAGCCACAGUCAUUCACUGGGAUGGCAAACUUUUUGCAGAUAGCAAGGGAUCAGGUAAAUAUGAUAGGCUCGCAAUAGUUGUGACUAGUGGAGAUGUAG
rnacentral:lncRNA from 1 species